rnacentral:rRNA from 2 species
UGCAAGUCGAGCGAACAGAUGAGAAGCUUGCUUCUCUGAUGUUAGCGGCGGACGGGUGAGUAACACGUGGGUAACCUACCUAUAAGACUGGGAUAACUCCGGGAAACCGGGGCUAAUACCGGAUAAUAUUUUGAACCGCAUGGUUCAAUAGUGAAAGACGGUUUCGGCUGUCACUUAUAGAUGGACCCGCGCCGUAUUAGCUAGUUGGUAAGGUAACGGCUUACCAAGGCGACGAUACGUAGCCGACCUGAGAGGGUGAUCGGCCACACUGGAACUGAGACACGGUCCAGACUCCUACGGGAGGCAGCAGUAGGGAAUCUUCCGCAAUGGGCGAAAGCCUGACGGAGCAACGCCGCGUGAGUGAUGAAGGUCUUCGGAUCGUAAAACUCUGUUGUUAGGGAAGAACAAAUUUGUUAGUAACUGAACAAGUCUUGACGGUACCUAACCAGAAAGCCACGGCUAACUACGUGCCAGCAGCCGCGGUAAUACGUAGGUGGCAAGCGUUAUCCGGAAUUAUUGGGCGUAAAGCGCGCGUAGGCGGUUUCUUAAGUCUGAUGUGAAAGCCCACGGCUCAACCGUGGAGGGUCAUUGGAAACUGGGAAACUUGAGUGCAGAAGAGGAGAGUGGAAUUCCAUGUGUAGCGGUGAAAUGCGCAGAGAUAUGGAGGAACACCAGUGGCGAAGGCGGCUCUCUGGUCUGUAACUGACGCUGAUGUGCGAAAGCGUGGGGAUCAAACAGGAUUAGAUACCCUGGUAGUCCACGCCGUAAACGAUGAGUGCUAAGUGUUAGGGGGUUUCCGCCCCUUAGUGCUGCAGCUAACGCAUUAAGCACUCCGCCUGGGGAGUACGACCGCAAGGUUGAAACUCAAAGGAAUUGACGGGGACCCGCACAAGCGGUGGAGCAUGUGGUUUAAUUCGAAGCAACGCGAAGAACCUUACCAAAUCUUGACAUCCUUUGACCGCUCUAGAGAUAGAGUCUUCCCCUUCGGGGGACAAAGUGACAGGUGGUGCAUGGUUGUCGUCAGCUCGUGUCGUGAGAUGUUGGGUUAAGUCCCGCAACGAGCGCAACCCUUAAGCUUAGUUGCCAUCAUUAAGUUGGGCACUCUAGGUUGACUGCCGGUGACAAACCGGAGGAAGGUGGGGAUGACGUCAAAUCAUCAUGCCCCUUAUGAUUUGGGCUACACACGUGCUACAAUGGAUAAUACAAAGGGCAGCGAAUCCGCGAGGCCAAGCAAAUCCCAUAAAAUUAUUCUCAGUUCGGAUUGUAGUCUGCAACUCGACUACAUGAAGCUGGAAUCGCUAGUAAUCGUAGAUCAGCAUGCUACGGUGAAUACGUUCCCGGGUCUUGUACACACCGCCCGUCACACCACGAGAGUUUGUAACACCCGAAGCCGGUGGAGUAACCUUUUAGGAGCUAGCCGUCGAA